rnacentral:pre_miRNA from 1 species
GGCCACCAUUUUGGAUUCGGGGUAUUGCGAAGUAAGUUGCCCCGUGUAGACACGUUAUUCUGAAAGAAAACCCUUCUCUCAGAAUAACUGUUAUUACUCAUGCAAUGAGGUUUAACAGUUAUUCUGAGAGAACGGUUUUCUCUCGGAAUAACACGUCUACACGGGGCAACUUAUUUCGCAAUAUCCCGAAUCCAAAAUGGUGGCC